rnacentral:tRNA from 1 species
GCACCCUUAGCUCAGCUGGAUAGAGUGGCAGCCUCCGAAGCUGCAGGCCACAGGUUCGAAUCCUGUAGGGUGCGCCA